UACGUAGGGUGCGAGCGUUAAUCGGAAUUACUGGGCGUAAAGCGUGCGCAGGCGGUUUGCUAAGACCGAUGUGAAAUCCCCGGGCUCAACCUGGGAACUGCAUUGGUGACUGGCAGGCUAGAGUAUGGCAGAGGGGGGUAGAAUUCCACGUGUAGCAGUGAAAUGCGUAGAGAUGUGGAGGAAUACCGAUGGCGAAGGCAGCCCCCUGGGCCAAUACUGACGCUCAUGCACGAAAGCGUGGGGAGCGAACAGG
rnacentral:rRNA from 1 species